rnacentral:rRNA from 2 species
GACAGGGGGUGCAAGCGUUGCUCGGAAUCAUUGGGCGUAAAGCGCACGUAGGCGGUCUCGUAAGUCGGGUGUGAAAGCCCUCAGCCUAACUGAGGAACUGCGCCCGAUACUGCGAGGCUAGAGGAUGGGAGGGGAGAGUGGAAUUCCUGGUGGAGCGGUGAAAUGCGUAGAUAUCAGGAGGAAUACCAGUGGCGAAGGCGACUCUCUGGUCCAUUCCUGACGCUGAGGUGCGAGAGCUAGGGGAGCAAACGGG